AGUAGAAGCUGACGUCGCACCGUCUCUUUCGCUGUUCAUGCACAAGGCUGUCGUUUGUCCGCUCCAGUUCGCAAUGUUGAAGAGUUUUAAAUCUUCAUCUCCUCCACGCAUCAGGGUGUCUCAAUGACCAGAUAAGUCCCCUGUAUGGAGCAGAUGGAGGAUGAUGUCAGAGUUGGAACUCCAGAUGUUGGCGAUGUGACCAUGUGGCUGUGAGUGACCAGCAGCAGGAGGACCUUGAGGCAGGGAUCGAAGUAUGCAGGUUUUAUGGUAACACUUGACCAUAGGACCCAGCAGAAACCCUGAUUGGUUAAAGACUGUACAAUGCAGACAAGAACUGGACCAGUACGCGAACACCUGAUGGGAGUCCUUUUGUUCUGGAACUGAAAUUUUUAUUGAUAAAUAUUUUUAAAUAAACUUGUAUCUCUAAA